rnacentral:misc_RNA from 1 species
UGUAAAUCCUGUCAAACCUUAUUAAACGUGCAACGCAUGUGUCACAAAAAUAAUCCACUUAAAAUUCCCAUGACAUAAGCAAAUAAUUCCCUCUCAUAAAUACAUACACAGUACAUUUGAUAAGAACUACAAACUAGAGAGAAACCGAGUAAAUCCUUUCAUCACUUCUCAGAGUAAACAACAUAUUUGAUGCUUUCACACAGAACCAACAAGAUGGGAAACCCUUUUUUACAUGAAUUCAAGAGGCAAGCUUCUUUCUUCUUGAAGGAGAAGAUCAAGACUGCUCGCUUGGCACUAACAGAUGUUACACCCGCAGAACUGUAAGUUUGCAUUUUUACAUCAAUAAUUCAAAACCGAACAAGUUCUUACCUUCUAUUCAUUUUAAAGAUUGACAGAAGAAGCUACAAAUGGAGAAUUUCGGGCACCAGAUACACGUACUAUGUGUGUAAUUUCAAGAGCUGCCUUUGAAGUUGAUGAUUAUUGGAGAAUUGUUGACAUUCUACAUAACAGGUUUCUUUUAUUUGGAUCUGGUUUAGCUAUUUGAACCAACAUAUAUAGCUGUGACCUGAAUUAAAGAUUUAAUCUUCUGUUUCUGUUGCCUUUUCAGGUUGACGAAGUUCGAAAGAAAAACUUGGCGGGUUACCUACAAGACUCUACUUCUAUUAGAACACCUUCUAACCCAUGGUCCUUUAAGAGUUGCUGAAGAAUUUCAGAGAGAUAAAGAAGUCAUUAAGAAUUUGGAAAGCUUUCAAUUUGUUGACGAGAAAGGGUUGGUUUAGGACAUAUGAGCAUAUCUUCCUUGGUUGUGCCAUUCAAAUUUUUAUUGUUAAGAGUAUGUAUCUUUAAUUAAUUAAUCAUCUGGUUUCAAAUGCAGAUUCAACUGGGGCUUGUGUGUUAGAAACUUAUCAGCAAGAAUACUGAAGUUGCUGGAAAAUGAGCAAUUUCAGAUAGAAGAAAGGGCAAGAGUUCGUAAGUUAACACGAGGGAUUCAAGGGUAUGGUAGCUUCCCCCAUCGAGCCCUUUCACCUGAUGAGAAUUUCAAAGACUUGGGCUUUCGGAAAUGCAAAAGGUCUAAUUCUAACUAUAGUGAUCAAAUCAAUAAAGAAUACGAGUUCUUGGCCUCAGAUGACUACUUCUUGAUGGAGGAAAGGAUCCACAAACCAGAAAAAAUCUAUGGAGAUGUCAGCCCAGGACUUGAUGACAGUGGGAAAAUAAAAGAGGAAUAUGCAAUGGAAUUAGAUCAUCCAUUCUGCUACAGUGAUCAUCACACUUCGGAGUCUCUUUUUUCUGCUCUAGAAUGAAGUUCCUUAAUUUUUUAGGGGGAAACCACAAUUUAUUACCCUAUACUUUGGCCUUUUUGGCAUCGAAGGUGACACGGUGCACAAAUCUAUGCCAGACCCAAAUACUUGUGUUUUCUUAUUUCUACGAGCAUUCGUAAUUCUAAUAAGAUUCUUUAUUUUACUAGAUAAAUUUUAUUUAUAUUUCUUAAUAUAUUUAGAAUUAUAAAAUACAACUUUUAUUUAAUUUAGGUAUUUUAAAUAUGUUUUCUAUUUAAAUUAAGUCUCUUUAAUUCAUUUCUAUCUAGAUUAGGAUUUAAAACUCUAUAAAUACCCAUUAUAUUUCAAUCAUGUACAAGUUUCAAGAUUUAUUUAAUAAAGUAUUUUUCUUCAUAAAGCUAUAUUUGUUUUGUUUUAUAUUUAGAUUAUGGAUUGAAUCAUGUAUUUCUUAAGAUCUUGGAUUAGAUCUUAUUUAUUUUCAAGAGUUUGAUCGUAUAUCGAUUUUUUUUAGCGCUACACGUUACGUCAAGUAGUAUCAGAGAAGGGAUUUCAACCUCAUUACGAUGGCCAAUGCUAGUAGUGGUGGUGACAAUCAAUCUUGUGACGGUAAUCAAGGGUUACUGCCUGUUUGGAGAGCAAUCGAAGAAUAGCUAAAUAAUAUGGAACAAAUUAGAACAAAUUCGGGAUGCCAAUUUCAGGAGCUUCAAAAGCAAUUGCGUACCAUGUUGAAUGUUGGUGGAAAUAGGAAUCAAGAACCUAUUGAAGCCAGUGGAGUUAAGCCCAGUAGAGCCAUGGUUUCAAAUCAUAAUGUAACGGUAACAGCUUGGCACUACGCAAAAUUUUUUGAAAAAUUUGCAAAGCUUAUGAAAUGAGUAGAUAUUUAAAGAUAUAAUAUACAGCCAAUUCCAAAUAAUAAGCAUAAAUACUUUAAAUAAAGAUAUUAAAUUCAUCAUUCUUGGACAACAUUAGCAUUAAUCAUUUUAAAACUAAAAUAACUACGUAGAUGGUAAAGAACUAAACUUGUUACCACCAAAAUGAGUGUCUAAGAAGUUCUUUGAUAUUAUUUUCCAAUUACUUGUGUAUUUUACUAAAAUUAAUUUCGAAAAUAGUUCAAAUAUGG